UUUCUGUCGGAACGCUUCAGAAGAAUGAGAUGAAUAUGGACGAAAGAGAAUUUUUUCUCUUAGGAUUAGGCCUCCUUGGUCUACUGGCUUCGGUAGCAGCUGUUGUUAUCGGAAUAUUCGGAGCCAUCUUUAUAUCCUUGUCAGCAUUUUUGGUUUAUCAGGGUAGCAGCUAUAUUUCAAGAUCUCCGUUCCGCGUUAGUAAUUUUCUGAAAAGCUAUCGACCGCCACGGACAGUCUGGUGUUCAAAGGUUGAGUUUGGGGAUAUAUGGAUACCUCCUGAUGUAGACGAUGCACUAGAAAGAUUGUAUGAGAGAAUUGUGACUGAAUUUAUCGUUAGUUGGUAUAAAGAUAUAUCUCCAGAUCUUGAGUUUAUCCAGCAGAUUAGAAUUAUAAUUAGAAAUAUUACUGCAAACAUUAUCUUCAGACUUAUGCGGGUUGAUAUAACUGAACUAUUAAUGGUUGAUAUUGUACCUAUUGUCGCACAACAUCUAGACUCUGUUCUAUGGACUCGUCAACACACCCAGGGAGAGCAGGGAAAGAAGAACUUUAAAUCAAAUUAUAUCGCCCUUGUAGGCAAAGAUGUUCAUAUAGCCUUGUCCUCUAGAGAGGCAGAAGUUGAAUAUUUAGAAGAUUUAUCAGCUAGAAUUAUUCCUCUUAUUUACAAGGAGGGAGUUAAGAGCAGAUUAGUUUCUAGCUUUGCUCUGAGUUUAGUUAGCAGACCUAUUCUACUAAACCUUCUAGACUCACUCUGUAAUCCAAGGAAUGUGAACAAACUUCUUUGUCUCUGGUUUCACCCAGAUCCUGGGAAGGAGUUUUUAUCCUCACCUGCACCUCCUGUCAAACUCCUAUUUAGAUUUGUUCAUUCUCAUCAUCAUUCAUCUCCAUCAUCCUUUCAUGUGGAUUUAUCAGAGAUUCUUAGUAACCAGGAGCUGUUGUGUCAGUUUGUCCAUUACUUAAAGGGAUGUGGAGGUGUUAAUCUACUUAACUUCUGCCUUGCUGUAGAGGAUUUCAAUAAGAAAAUAAUGAAUGCCGGUCUCACCAAAACAGAGUUGGUCAACCUUCAUGCGGAAGCCAAGGUCUUGUUCAAUACAUACAUGAAUGUUGGUUCAUCGCAGUUCAUUUCCUUUACUUCCGAAAUAGUCGAAGACAUUAACAACAUCCUUCUAGGGGAGUUCAAAGAUGUAGAAAAGUUGAGAACCACUCCUCCACUCUUCCGUGCAUAUGAGCAGGCCUACAAUAAUCUGGAGGACAACUUCUGUCCAGACUUUCAUCUUAGCUCACAGUAUUUAAACCUGAACUUUGGUUGUCGACUUGCUGAAGUCAAACCUAAUUCAAUAAACAAGUCCUCGAGUCAAGACAGGAAUAAGAAGGGUUGGCUCGCGUCUAUAAAUCCUUUCAGCAAAAAAUCUAAAUGCACAACUUCCCAAUCUAUUUUUUAUGAUGGUUUAUCACUGCAUGAUGAUUGUCCUAUUAGUAUGAGUGGGUUAAGACGAAGUGUAUCAGAAUCUGAUAUUUUGGAAGAUAAAUCAGAGGAUAAAGAUAUUUCAAGGUCUUGUGAAAAUUUGUUAGAAGAUGAACAUUCAAAUGAUCUCUCUUUAUAUGACCUGUCACCUGCAACCAGAGCACAGUCUUUGGAUAUGUUGGAUGAGCCUAAGGACGUAUUGUCAAGUCCCCGAAGUAGCACAAUGCCUAAAGAUUUAAAACCUCUUGAAAAGGCAAAAUCUUCUCGUAAAGUCAAACCGAAAGCUUUGUUAAAAAGUAUCUCCGUUGGAGUUGAACAUAAUGUUGCGUCGCCGCUGAGAAAGAUGUCAGAUGUUGGAAGAAAAAUGGCGUCUGUUCUACCCUGGAGACGGGGUUCUAUAUCGUCUCAGACCUCAAACACGGAUUCUAUAAUAGAGGAAACUAAAUCUUGUCUGGACCCAGAGCAGGAGACUGAUGCUGAUAGGAUUCCUGGAGGUAAGCUGAGCCGGUUAAAGCAGGGUGUGCUAGGAAACCCUGUUGAGGGCUGCCCGUGUCCAGAUAGAUUGACGGAUUCAGCUUUCGAUCUGGUCUCUAAUAUGAAGAAUGAUUCCAGUAAUAUCAACCAAGAUCUGGAGAUUAGAGACUUGAGCGCCUGGAGAGUUGAGAUACGGAACCUGGAAACAAGAAGUUUUGGCGGGAAAUCUUGCUUUGUUUUUAUUCUCCAGGUUCAAAGAAUUGAUGUAGCGUCAGCUAGUGAUGGACAGGAUUUAGAGUGGACUGUUGCAAGGCAGUAUCAUGAGUUCUAUACUUUGCAAUCUGCUCUCACACAAUUCCAUGGAGUAUUAGAUGAUAUAAAGUUACCAGCCCGCAGUAAACUCUUCCGAGGACGGGGUCUAGAUGUACUUCAGUCAAAAAUUGAACCAUUUCAGGAUUAUCUGGUGAAACUGCUGCAGCAACCAAGCCUGAAAAAGUCAGAUCUUCUUUUCACAUUUCUUACUUCGCAAGAAGAGUUUACUGAAGCCGCGUCCCAGCUUGGUUUAACCAGAAUGAUUAAAAAUGUUCCCAAAAAACUAACCAAGGAGAAAGGACAGUCCUUACAUGAAUUCAUCAAUUCAUUCAUUAAUUCAACAAUUCCUUCAAAAGACAGUGAGUUCAGUUUGUCAGUGGAUGACAGUAUUUCCGACAAUCUGGAUAAUAAAUCCAUUUAUGCAGAUAAUUUUUCCGAGCAUUUUCCUUUUAGUGGAACAACCCUGGGACCCAGCCAAACCUUCAAACCAGAUGGGCUUUACGAGAUUAUACUGUACUUGUGCUUCCGUGUGUUCAAAGUUGGUAAUACAGUCAUCAGGUUAUUAUACAGCGUGAAAUGGAUUCUAGAGACCUCUGUGAAUCAUAUUGUUAACUACCUUCUAGCAUCUAAACUUAACACUCUGCUAAUUCAUAGCAGAGUGUCAUAUAUCAUUGAUGUAAUACAAGAGAGUAUAUUUUGUCCUGAGGAGAAUAUACCUGAUGAAGAACAUAAUUUUAUAGCAGACAAAACACUUAAAUACUUCAGGAAGUAUAUUCCCAGCAUUUUAGAAACCAUUUCCCCUGCUGGGUUUGAGUCAGGAACUAAAGAUUUGUUUCAAACAUUCCAGGAUCCGUGGUUGAACAAGCAACUGAUAUAUACACUCCUAGAAAAUAUUCUUCCCAAACUUUUCCCAGAACUAAGAAACUGAGCAAGCAAGCUAGACUUAAAAGUUAAAAUAUCAAUUUAUCUUUAAAUUUUACCAUUCGAUCGUGCCAGUCAUCAGUUAUUCAGUCAUCAUACAUGUUUUGGUCUUCUUAGAAAAAAUUAAUUUUACAUAAAAAAAAUCUUAUAUCUUGCAUUUAAAAAAAACCUCCAUGUUUUUUAGCGAUUCUCACAGAAAGUUAUUUUCUAAAGAUGCUGUAAGCUAAUUUAUUCAAUUCAUAAUUAGGGACCGAAUUCAAUGAAACUGAGUUAGGUAGCUGAAUUACUACCUACUGUCGAUUCAAAUAUUUCUUGUUAGUUUUGCUGUGUAGGUAUCAUCGGGGACAAAUUCUGAAUCACCGAUCCCAUGUCUUAAUUAUGUAAACAGCUAAACUGCACAACUACAGACAAGUAUUUGAAUCCACUGUAGGUAGGUCAUCAACCUAGCCCAAACUCAUUAAAUUUGGUUAUGAGGGUAGAAUUGGAAAUUGCUUCAUAGCAAGCGCUACCUCCAUAAAAAGUUUGUUGUAAAGCUUUCUGUAAUCUUCAUGCCGCUAUAUCCGAAAUGGCUAGAUUAUGGUGAAUUUUUAUUAUAUUUUUAUGAAUAUUUAGAACAUAUCUGUUUAGUAAUCUAACUUUUGUUAAAAAUGUGUUAAUAUUUGUGAACAAGCUGAAUCAAAAUCUAUGAAAUUAGUCCAGGGCCAAGACAGCUUGCAUUCUUCUUGCAUUUAGUAUCUUAUCCUGUGAUAACGAAACAACCAAUAGUCAGAGUAACUAUCAAUCAUAUUCAUGUUUAAAUGUUUAUUAUGUGUGUACUGUGUAGCGUAUAGGAAUAAAUUUUUAAGAUAUCGUUGUUUUACACUCGUCUGACAACAACACACUAAAAUGUAUGUAUUUAAUGUUAGGACAAAUAAACUAUGAAUUAAUA
rnacentral:misc_RNA from 1 species